rnacentral:rRNA from 1 species
AAAUUGAAGAGUUUGAUCAUGGCUCAGAUUGAACGCUGGCGGCAGGCCUAACACAUGCAAGUCGAACGGUAGCAGGAAGCAGCUUGCUGCUUUGCUGACGAGUGGCGGACGGGUGAGUAAUGUCUGGGAAACUGCCUGAUGGAGGGGGAUAACUACUGGAAACGGUGGCUAAUACCGCAUAACGUCGCAAGACCAAAGAGGGGGACCUUCGGGCCUCUUGCCAUCAGAUGUGCCCAGAU